rnacentral:rRNA from 1 species
GCGGCACGCCUAACACAUGCAAGUCGAACGAAGUAGCAAUACUUAGUGGCAGACGGGUGAGUAACAUGUAGGUAUCUGCCCUUUGGCCUGGAAUAACACGAGGAAACUUGUGCUAAUACCGGAUAAGUCUUUACGGAGAAAGCUUUAUGCACCAUUGGAUGAGCCUGCACUUGAUUAGUUUGUUGGUGGGGUAAUGGCCUACCAAGACUGUGAUCAAUAGCUGAUUUGAGAGGAUGAUCAGCCACAUUGGGACUGAGACACGGCCCAAACUCCUACGGGAGGCAGCAGUGGGGAAUCUUGCACAAUGGAGGAAACUCUGAUGCAGCGAUGCCGCGUGAGUGAAGAAGGCCCUUGGGUUGUAAAGCUCUUUCGUCGGGGAAGAAAAUGACUGUACCCGAAUAAGAAGGUCCGGCUAACUUCGUGCCAGCAGCCGCGGUAAUACGAAGGGACCUAGCGUAGUUCGGAAUUACUGGGCUUAAAGAGUUCGUAGGUGGUUGAAAAAGUUAGUGGUGAAAUCCCAGAGCUUAACUCUGGAACUGCCAUUAAAACUUUUCAGCUAGAGUAUGAUAGAGGAAAGCAGAAUUUCUAGUGUAGAGGUGAAAUUCGUAGAUAUUAGAAAGAAUACCAAUUGCGAAGGCAGCUUUCUGGAUCAUUACUGACACUGAGGAACGAAAGCAUGGGUAGCGAAGAGGAUUAGAUACCCUCGUAGUCCAUGCCGUAAACGAUGUGUGUUAGACGUUGGAAAUUUAUUUUCAGUGUCGCAGGGAAACCGAUAAACACACCGCCUGGGGAGUACGACCGCAAGGUUAAAACUCAAAUGAAUUGACGGGGACCCGCACAAGUAGUGGAGCAUGUGGUUUAAUUCGAAGAUACGCGCAGAACCUUACCAACACUUGACAUGUUCGUCGCGACUCUAAGAGAUUAGAGUUUUCGGUUCGGCCGGACGAAACACAGGUGCUGCAUGGCUGUCGUCAGCUCGUGUCGUGAGAUGUUGGGUUAAGUCCCGCAACGAGCGCAACCCUCACUUUUAGUUGCCAUCAUUAAGUUGGGCACUCUGAAAGAACUGCCAGUGAUAAGCUGGAGGAAGGUGGGGAUGACGUCAAGUCCUCAUGGCCCUUACGUGUUGGGCUACACACGUGCUACAAUGGUAUCUACAACAGGAAGCAAGACUGCGAAGUUAAGCAAAUCCCUAAAAGAUACCUCAGUUCGGAUUGCACUCUGCAACUCGAGUGCAUGAAGCUGGAAUUACUAGUAAUCGUGGAUCAGCGUGCCACGGUGAAUGCGUUCCCGGGUCUUGUACACACCGCCCGUCACACCAUGGGAGUUGGUUCUACCUUAAGGCAAGGUUU